rnacentral:rRNA from 1 species
GGCGACCAUAGCAAGAGUGAACCACCUGAUCCCUUCCCGAACUCAGAAGUGAAACCUCUUAGCGCUGAUGGUAGUGUGGGAUUCCCCAUGUGAGAGUAAGUCAUCGCCAGCU